rnacentral:rRNA from 1 species
AGAGUUUGAUCCUGGCUCAGGAUGAACGCUGGCGGCGUGCUUAACACAUGCAAGUCGAACGAAGCAUUUGUGAUUGAGACUUCGGUUGAAAGAGCAAAUGACUUAGUGGCGGACGGGUGAGUAACGCGUGGGCAACCUGCCUCGUACAGGGGGACAACAGUUAGAAAUGACUGCUAAUACCGCAUAAGCGCACAGCUUCGCAUGAAGCAGUGUGAAAAACUCCGGUGGUACGAGAUGGGCCCGCGUUGGAUUAGCUGGUUGGUGGGGUAACGGCCUACCAAGGCGACGAUCCAUAGCCGACCUGAGAGGGUGACCGGCCACAUUGGGACUGAGACACGGCCCAAACUCCUACGGGAGGCAGCAGUGGGGAAUAUUGCACAAUGGGCGCAAGCCUGUUGCAGCGACGCCGCGUGAGCGAAGAGGUAUUUCGGUAUGUAAAGCUCUAUCAGCAGGGAAGAAAAUGACGGUACCUGACUAAGAAGCUCCGGCUAAAUACGUGCCAGCAGCCGCGGUAAUACGUAUGGAGCGAGCGUUAUCCGGAUUUACUGGGUGUAAAGGGAGCGUANACGGAUCGGCAAGUCUGAUGUGAAAUGCGGGGGCUCAACUCCUGAACUGCAUUGGAAACUGUCGGUCUUGAGUGCCGGAGAGGUAAGCGGAAUUCCUAGUGUAGCGGUGAAAUGCGUAGAUAUUAGGAGGAACACCAGUGGCGACGGCGGCUUACUGGACGGUAACUGACGUUGAGGCUGAAAGCCUGGGGAACAAACAGGAUUAGAUACGCUGGUAGUCCACCCGGUAAACGAUGAAUACUAGGUGUUGGGCAGCAAAGCUGUUCGGUGCCGCAGCAAACGCAAUAAGUAUUCCACCUGGGGAGUACGUUCGCAAGAAUGAAACUCAAAGGAAUUGACGGGGACCCGCACAAGCGGUGGAGCAUGUGGUUUAAUUCGAAGCAACGCGAAGAACCUUACCAAGUCUUGACAUCCCGAUGACCGGUGCGUAAUGGCGCCUUUUCUUCGGAACAUCGGAGACAGGUGGUGCAUGGUUGUCGUCAGCUCGUGUCGUGAGAUGUUGGGUUAAGUCCCGCAACGAGCGCAACCCUUAUCUUCAGUAGCCAGCGGUAAGGCCGGGCACUCUGGAGAGACUGCCAGGGAUAACCUGGAGGAAGGUGGGGAUGACGUCAAAUCAUCAUGCCCCUUAUGACUUGGGCUACACACGUGCUACAAUGGCGUAAACAAAGGGAAGCGAGCCUGCGAGGGGGAGCAAAUCUCAAAAAUAACGUCCCAGUUCGGACUGCAGUCUGCAACUCGACUGCACGAAGCUGGAAUCGCUAGUAAUCGCGAAUCAGAAUGUCGCGGUGAAUACGUUCCCGUGGUCUUGUACACACCGCCCGUC